ACAGGGUCUCUCUAUGUUGCCUACCCUGAUCUGGAACUCCUGGGGUCAUGUGAUCCUGCCACCUCAGCCUCCUGAGUUGCUGGGGCUACCAGUGCAUACCACCAUUCCUGGCUACCAUAUUGGCCUUAUUAUAAUACAAUGAGAGCUUAAGGACAUAAAUGUUGAAGCAUUUCAAGAUAAAAUAUGUACUUCAAAGUUUUCAAAAUAAUUUAAAAAUAGAAUUUUGAAAUAGUGAAGAAAAGACUGUUGACUCUUUCAACUGGAUUAUGAAAUGCAUACCAAAGUUUGGACUUUUUGGAACCCACUUCCGGACUCUUCUGUGACUGGUUGAAGUUUAUGUCUGGAGAAAUUAACUCCCCACUAUUUCUGGCCUACCUGGAUAUGGGCAGCACAUGCUCUUCAGGCAGAGGAAGUCCAGAGUCAAAGAGAAACAAAUGCUUGAGGUAGGAACUCAUUGGUUUGUGAAGUGAACUGUCUGCCAAAGCAGUAGGCAACCAAUGCUACAGGGGUGGGUCAGGGAAUAUGGGUGAGGCACCAACUGUCUGUGUCAGAAGACUGUUGUUUUCAGAUAUGAGGAAGUUAGACUUACACUCCCUAAACUUAUACUCUGUUAGUGGCCAUAAAAAUAGAUCGGUAAUGCUUUGUGCUUUUUGUGGAUAAUUCCUGUUCAUCCACCAAAUCUCCAUUUAGAGCCAAUCUGCCUGAACUUAAUUUAUCUUUGUAAUUCUACACAGGCUGUUCUUGUAUUGACCCUAAUCAUUGUCUCUUGGUGGUCUACCUACCCAGAAAGUAUGCUGUAUCCUGACUGCCCACCAGAGCUCCCAAAUAAGCCAUAUCAGAAUGCAAGGAUAAUUUAAUUUCAUCUUUAGCACCCCCUUUCGCCCUCAAAGUGUUUGUUUCUUAGUAAGGGAUAUAUGUGUUGGGGAGUGGGUGUUUGAACACAGCAAUAAACCUACACAGUGGCUCCCACUGAUGUUCAGCCAUGUUCUGAACAUGUUAUAAUUACUGGUGGGCACAGCCUGUCAGAAGUCUGUUUGUACAAGGAUUUAAGAUCAUCCUGGGAGAUAAUUAUUAUAAGGGGUGAGGAAGUUAGGGGUGACAGCUUGAUCCAGUAAUAAGUCUUAGUCAUCAGAGGAGGGGGGCUGUUCUGAGAAUGGUGUGGUGUCUAUGACUCAGAUUUGUCUGCAUUUCUGGCCUCCCUUUAGAGCAUGUCUCAGUCUUUCAGAAAGUUGAGGGUAAAGUUAUAAAUGAAUACUAAAUGAGUUGUUUUGCUAAAACUGUUGGAUACUGGAAGUACCAGUAAGAUUACUUGAGAUCUCUCUAACAGAAUGUAGUACAAUCUAAAGAGAAAGGGCUUAUCUUCCAGUUUCAACAAUGUCCUUGGAGAGGGCCAGAAAAGGGCAAGAGGAAUUGGAAGCCACAUGGUAUCUGACAAGGCUUGUUCAUUAUCACAGGUGAGAUGCACCCAGGGAUUUACCAGAACUACUUGGGCAGUGCUUGAUUGAUGGCUGCAUCCCAGGGAAAGCCAUGAAAUCUGGGUUAGCUGAUUAAUGCAACCUUAUUUGUUCCCAUAGGCUGAUGAGAACUGGGCAAACUCAAGCUGCAGAUGGAACAUUCUGGUAGAUAUGGACAAAUCCUUUCAUUUCUUUUCCACAAUCAAGUUUAGGAUAGACAUAUACUGCCUGGUCCAUAGUAGGUACUUAUACUAGAUAUCCAUUGAAUGAAUUAACUUUUCUCAUAUUUGAUACACAUCAGGAGUGAGCAAGAAUUGAACUGAUACCUGAAAAAUUUCUAGUCCCCUUGAGGUAAGGGAACCAUUACUUCUUUCUUAUUUGCUAUGCCUUACAGAAAUAAAGUCACGUGUUUUUUUGUUUUUGUUUUUAAAAAACAUUAACAGAUAUCUAAGUGACUGUGUCAGCCAGGUAUGGUCGCUUACUCCUGCAAUCCAAGCACUUUGGGAGGCUGAAGAGAGAGGAUUGCUUGAGUCCAGGAGUUUGUGACCAGCUUGGGCAAUACAGGGA